rnacentral:rRNA from 1 species
AUUGAACGCUGGCGGCAGGCCUAACACAUGCGAGUCGAGCGGAUGAAGGGAGCUUGUUCCUGGAUUCCGCGGCGGACGGGUGAGUAAUGCCCAGGAAUCUGCCUGGUAGUGGGGGAUAACGUCCGGAAACGGGCGCUAAUACCGCCUACGUCCUGCGGGUGCAGGUGGGGGUUCUUCGGACCUCUUGGUCUCAGGUGAGUCUAGGUGGGAUUAGUUAGUUGGUGGGGUAAAGGCCUACCUAGGCGACGAUCCGCAACUGGACUGAGAGGAGGAUCAGUCACACUGGAACUGAGACGCGGUCCAGACUCCUGCGGGAGGCAGCAGUGGGGAAUAUUGGGCAAUGGGCGAAAGCCUGAUCCAGCCGUGCCACGUGUGUGAAGAAGGUCUUCGGAUUGUAAAGCACUUUAAGUUGGGAUGAAGGGCAGUAAGUUAAUACCUAGCUGUUGUGACGGUACCAACAGAAUAAGCACCGGCUAACUUCGUG